rnacentral:tRNA from 1 species
GGGCGCGUAGCUCAACGGUUAGAGCUCCAAGCUUAUACCUUGGUGGUUCUUGGUUCGAAUCCAAGCGCGCCCACCA